CCAGACUCCUACGGGAGGCAGCAGUGGGGGAUAUUGGGCAAUGGGGGGAACCCUGAUCCAGCGACGCCGCGUGAGUGAAGAAGUAUUUCGGUAUGUAAAGCUCUGUCAGCAGGGAAGAAAGCAAUGACGGUACCUGACCAAGAAGCCCCGGCUAACUACGUGCCAGCAGCCGCGGUAAUACGUAGGGGGCAAGCGUUAUCCGGAAUUACUGGGUGUAAAGGGAGCGUAGACGGCUGUGCAAGUCUGGAGUGAAAGGCGGGGGCCCAACCCCCGGACUGCUCUGGAAACUGUAUGGCUGGAGUGCAGGAGAGGUAAGCGGAAUUCCUAGUGUAGCGGUGAAAUGCGUAGAUAUUAGGAGGAACACCAGUGGCGAAGGCGGCUUACUGGACAGUAACUGACGUUGAGGCUCGAAAGCGUGGGGAGCAAACAGGAUUAGAUACCCCGGUA
rnacentral:rRNA from 1 species